rnacentral:rRNA from 1 species
UACGGGGGGGGCAAGGGUUGUUCGGAAUUACUGGGCGUAAAGGGUUUGUAGGUGGCUUGUUAAGUCAGACGUGAAAUCCCUCAGCUUAACUGGGGAACUGCGUCUGAGACUGGUGAGCUUGAGUGCAGGAGAGGAACGCGGAAUUCCAGGUGUAGCGGUGAAAUGCGUAGAUAUCAGGAGGAACACCCGAGGCGAAGGCGGCUCUCUGGGUCGUACCUGACGCUGAGGCGCGAAAGCGUGGGGAGCGAACGGG